GACGAACGCUGGCGGCGUGCUUAACACAUGCAAGUCGAACGGUGAACUCCGCUUGCGGGGGGAUCAGUGGCGCACGGGUGAGUAACACGUGGGCAACCUGCCCUCAGCUCUGGGAUAACUCCAAGAAAUUGGGGCUAAUACCGGAUGUGACCGCUGACCGCAUGGUCUGGUGGUGGAAAGAUUUAUCGGCUGGGGAUGGGCCCGCGGCCUAUCAGCUUGUUGGUGGGGUAGUGGCCUACCAAGGCGACGACGGGUAGCCGGCCUGAGAGGGUGACCGGCCACACUGGGACUGAGACACGGCCCAGACUCCUACGGGAGGCAGCAGUGGGGAAUAUUGCGCAAUGGGCGAAAGCCUGACGCAGCGACGCCGCGUGGGGGAUGACGGCCUUCGGGUUGUAAACCUCUUUCAGCAGGGACGAAGCGAAAGUGACGGUACCUGCAGAAGAAGCACCGGCCAACUACGUG
rnacentral:rRNA from 1 species